rnacentral:rRNA from 1 species
ACUCCUACGGGAGGCAGCAGUGGGGAAUAUUGCACAAUGGGCGCAAGCCUGAUGCAGCCAUGCCGCGUGUAUGAAGAAGGCCUUCGGGUUGUAAAGUACUUUCAGCAGUGAGGAAGGUGGGUAUGUUAAUAGCAUAUUCAUUUGACGUUAGCUGCAGAAGAAGCACCGGCUAACUCCGUGCCAGCAGCCGCGGUAAUACGGAGGGUGCGAGCGUUAAUCGGAAUUACUGGGCGUAAAGCGCAUGCAGGUGGUUUGUUAAGUCAGAUGUGAAAGCCCGGGGCUCAACCUCGGAAUUGCAUUUGAAACUGGCAAACUAGAGUACUGUAGAGGGGGGUAGAAUUUCAGGUGUAGCGGUGAAAUGCGUAGAGAUCUGAAGGAAUACCGGUGGCGAAGGCGGCCCCCUGGACAGAUACUGACACUCAGAUGCGAAAGCGUGGGGAGCAAACAGGAUUAGAUACCCCUGUAGGCUCUGC